rnacentral:snRNA from 1 species
AGAUAUGAGGGCAAACAGGCUGAGACAUCUGUCACCCCAUUGGUCACCAGGGUUGAUUCAGCUGAUCUGGCUGCCUCGGUGGGUGUCCCCUUCUCCCUCACUGCUCUGUGUGGUCUCUCAUGAAGCUGCUUGUUCCCCAAUAGAGACAGACUGUUCUUCAGUCGAGGGUAUACAAGUAGCUGUGUUCCCUUGCUAGAACCUCCAAAUAACUGCUCAAGACUGACUUUAACUUGGGUUGGAUUUUAGAGACUCAGGACCUGAGCAAUAGUACAGCAGAUAGUGUGCUUGCCUUC